rnacentral:rRNA from 1 species
GACGAACGCUGGCGGCGUGCUUAACACAUGCAAGUCGAACGGAAAGGCCCUGCUUUUGUGGGGUGCUCGAGUGGCGAACGGGUGAGUAACACGUGAGUAACCUGCCCUUGACUUUGGGAUAACUUCAGGAAACUGGGGCUAAUACCGGAUAGGAGCUCCUGCUGCAUGGUGGGGGUUGGAAAGUUUCGGCGGUUGGGGAUGGACUCGCGGCUUAUCAGCUUGUUGGUGGGGUAGUGGCUUACCAAGGCUUUGACGGGUAGCCGGCCUGAGAGGGUGACCGGCAAAAUGGGGACUGGGAUACGGCCCAGAACACUACGGGAGGAAGGAGGGGGGAAAAUCGAACAAGGGGCGGAAGCCGGAUGCAGAAACGCCGGGGGGGGGAUGACGGCCUUCGGGUUGAAAACCGCUUUCGCCGGGGACGAAGGGGGGGGGAGGGUAAGGGGUAAAAAAGCAACGGCUAACUACGU